AGCUAAUGUAGGAAGAGCUCUGGUCGAUGGGCUAAAUGAGUCCUGGGUGCUGGUCCUGCAGUUUUACAUAUCCACUUCCCUGUGCAUUUCCUCUGUCCAGAACCUUUGGGGAUCGUAGAUUCAGCCCCAUUUGGAGAAGAUUGAGAAGACAUCCCUAUGACUUCACUAUCCUUUUCCGGGCAGCAGCGAAAUAGCUGACUGAGACAGAGCUGCCAAAUGCAGAGCAAAGGUGUAUUGUGUCUUCCAAUUGCACAACUGGGGAAAAUGACCUGUGGAUGAAGAACUCCUGGAUUCCA